GAAAGGCGAAAAGAACCCCGGCGAGGGGAGUGAAAAAGAACCUGAAACCGUGUACGUACAAGCAGUGGGAGCACAGAGCAAUCUGUGUGACUGCGUACCUUUUGUAUAAUGGGUCAGCGACUUAUAUUCUGUAGCAAGGUUAACCGAAUAGGGGAGCCGAAGGGAAACCGAGUCUUAACUGGGCGUUAAGUUGCAGGGUAUAGACCCGAAACCCGGUGAUCUAGCCAUGGGCAGGUUGAAGGUUGGGUAACACUAACUGGAGGACCGAACCGACUAAUGUUGAAAAAUUAGCGGAUGACUUGUGGCUGGGGGUGAAAGGCCAAUCAAACCGGGAGAUAGCUGGUUCUCCCCGAAAGCUAUUUAGGUAGCGCCUCGUGAAUUCAUCUCCGGGGGUAGAGCACUGUUUCGGCAAGGGGGUCAUCCCGACUUACCAACCCGAUGCAAACUGCGAAUACCGGAGAAUGUUAUCACGGGAGACACACGGCGGGUGCUAACGUCCGUCGUGAAGAGGGAAACAACCCAGACCGCCAGCUAAGGUCCCAAAGUCAUGGUUAAGUGGGAAACGAUGUGGGAAGGCCCAGACAGCCAGGAUGUUGGCUUAGAAGCAGCCAUCAUUUAAAGAAAGCGUAAUAGCUCACUGGUCGAGUCGGCCUGCGCGGAAGAUGUAACGGGGCUAAACCAUGCACCGAAGCUGCGGCAGCGACACUGUGUGUUGUUGGGUAGGGGAGCGU
rnacentral:rRNA from 1 species